AAAGUUUUAAGCAAACAGGACUUUUAUUUUGGUCGGGUGAUGUGACGUCAUAAAGCUGCGCCUCGCUCAUGCGUUUGUGAUUCGGCUGAAGAAAGGACAAAGUGUCCAAACACAGAAACGCUCCUGGUGAAUCAACUGAGGUCCAUGUGACACAUUAUUAUAAAGAUGGCAUUUAUUAAAGAGUAGAGUGAAGACGUGAAGAUUGAAGAAUCAUUCAGAGUCAAACAUGAAGAUACUGAGAUACAAACAGACCUGAUGCUGCUGAAAAAGGAGAGUCAAGAACUAAAUGAAAUGGAAGACAAAGUUCAGUAUGAGAAACAUCAUUUCAAAACUGGAGAAAGUUUUAGUUCCUCACAGACUAAAAAGACUACACGGAAAAGAAAGCAGAAGACAGGAACUAGAAAUCAUUUAACCUGUCAACAUUGUGGAAAAAAAUUCACUAAAAAAGGAAACCUUGAAAUCCAUAUGAGGACUCACACUGGAGAAAAGCCUUACACCUGCCAACAGUGUGGAAAUGGUUUCGCUAAUAA